GUCAUUAUCUGCAGGUGUAACUAUACUGUUUACUUCAUUUGCUAUAUAUACUUGCAAAUUCAAAGCAACCGAAUUGGUUUUACUUUGACUUUAAAGCUAAAAGAAGUAACUGAUUAUUUUACAUUCUUCAUCGCGAAAUGUGUAUCAAAUAUAAUUUGAAAUAUGACAGAAAUAUAUUGCCUACGCAUACAUAAUAUUAAAUGUCAAUAAUACAGUCUGUUAUUCUUUUAUUCUUCUACUUGUUUCGGUCAUUUGACUGCAGCCAUGCCGGAGAACCGACUUAAACGGUUUUAGUCGAGCAAAUCGACCCCAGGUUUCCACACAUGAGUACAACGUACCCACCAAAAAGUUCAUUGCUGCAGAUGAUGUCUUUCAGAUCCUCGUGAGUACCAUGACGAAAAAAUAUCCGAAGUGAUAGCGUAAAUGUAAAUAACAAAUGUAAAAGCGACGUGUGUGACUCUUUGUUUCGGUGUCAACCAUCCAUCUUCUCCAAUGAAUUACGGUAUUUUUGCAGUUGUUCCUUAUUACAGAUAAUAUUACCGAAAGAUUCUGACACGAAUGUCAGUGAUAGCAUUAACCUCAAAAGGCCAAAAGAAACUAUAUGUAUAGCCAAGAAAUAUAUCGAAGACGUUUUCCCAAUUCAUAUUGAGCGUGGUAACAAUUUCUUCAUCAAUGUUUGUGAUAUAGGAUACUCUCUCAAGUUUACUCAAUUGUAUUGCUUGCCAAAUUAUCCGACUGUUUCGGAUACAGCAUGACUGGCAAUAUGCCACAGUAGAAAGCUAAUGUAAGAGGAGCAUUCCUUUAGAUUAUGAAGUCAAGUGUCAGGAGAAAAUAUUAAAUAUUUAAACUUCUUAAUAACCUUCUCUAAAUCAUUCAUAGUUUCCACAAUGAAGUUCCGUGGUGAAUAUUGCAAACGUUUAAUUAGUCUUUCUUCUGCGGCUAAUCAGAUGAAUAACUGAAUUGAAAACGCAGUAACGAAGAUUGUUUGGCUCUUCACCUGUAAAUAGAAGAAAACUUUGGUUAAUCGAAUGUUUAUAUCGACCAACAUAAAAUGUGAAUCACCUUUCACCAACAGGACAGGUGUAUAAAAGAUAACCUUAAGAAAAUUGUGAUAUAUUGGUGUACCUGUACAUAGUGGAAGUUCAGAUCUGUCACUUUUUGUUUAAGACAAAUAAUUCGAAUGCAAUGCCAGCUACUUACCAAACAAUUAUGAAAAUGUAUGGUUUGGAACCGUUCAAAGCAAUAUAUAUCAAGUGUUUUGAAGCAUUUUUCAAAUUCCCCGAAAGUUCUGCAAAGUAGAAAUAUGAAUGAAUUCUA